GUUCCUGAUUGCGGUCUAUUUUCCAUGUCUAUAAAUAAAAGUCGUCUCUCCAAAGCUGUCUGUGUCAUGGUUGUGUAUUUAUAUAAUAUGGAAUAACGACGCGAAAUCCAUGCAGACUUGAGACUUCAUUCAUGAAACCAGCAGUUCUGUGAUUUAAGAAAAAACCUGGAGAACUAGCUCAUUACUAAUUUCUUGAGUUUUUACUUCUAAUAUUUUUUUAUCUUAUAUUUUUAUAUGAAAAUGAUAAUUUUCUUUUUAUUGUAACUUGCUUUAGCUUUGUUGGUUUUACCUGAGAACAGUGCAAUAAAAUAUUUUUUGACUGGGCUGUA
rnacentral:lncRNA from 1 species